GAUGAACGCUAGCGGCGGGCCUAAUACAUGCAAGUUGAACGGGAUUGUUGGUAGCAAUAUUGACAUGAGAGUGGCGCACGGGUGCGUAACACGUAUGUAACCUACCUUUAACUGGGGCAUAGCUUCGAGAAAUCGAAAUUAAUACCCCAUAACAUUUAGAAAAGGCAUCUUUUCUUUAUCAAAGCUCAGGCGGUUAAGGAUGGACAUGCGGUGCAUUAGCUUGUUGGUGAGGUAACGGCUCACCAAGGCUACGAUGCAUAGGGGGUCUGAGAGGAUGAUCCCCCACACUGGUACUGAGACACGGACCAGACUCCUACGGGAGGCAGCAGUAGGGAAUAUUGGACAAUGGGCGGAAGCCUGAUCCAGCCAUCCCGCGUGUAGGAAUAAGGCCCUAUGGGUU
rnacentral:rRNA from 1 species